GUAGCCUCGCCCGUGUAACACAGUUUUUCACUCAGUCAUUCCUUGGCGGCCUAUGGAUUAACACCGUGCACGCAUUGAUUUUUUCGUUCACUUAAUACCUACAGUCUUGGAUCUCACAAGUUUUGAAACAAAAAUGAGGACAGAAAGAAGUCAUAGUAGUGAUGAAGACAGUGACGCUGGCACACCUAAAAAGAAAACAAAAUAUGAGCAUAAAUUUCAAGAGAAAUGGGCGCAUGACAAAAGGUUUUCAUCCUAGAUAUGCAAAAGUAAAAAUUCAGAAAAAGGAAUAUUUGAAGGAUAAGGACCUGAGCAAAAUAAACCUUAAUGAUCCAUUAAACUAUCUUCAGAUAAAAGACAUAUAUCGGGGAGCAAAAGUUGAAAGCAUUGCCUUGGAUUCUUCCUCCAGUAUUUCAAAGAAAGACCUACAUGAUUUCCAGGUAAAAACACUGAACUUUUAUGUUGCCCUGUCAAAGCAAAUGUUUCAGCGCUUCCUGUCCUCUGGGAUGUUUGUUACUGGAAGCCUUAGAUCCCAAAAACGUGCAUUAAGGAAAGCCCAAGACUGUCAUUCCUUUAGCAGUUAAGUUACCCAAUAUAAUUGAAGAGCAAGAUUAUGAAGAACUUGAUACAGAAUGGCGAGAGCUUAUCCUACUUGAGAUUCCAUCUUUGCGUGAAUCAUCAAUGGAGCCAGAACAGUUUUGGUAUGCUGUUUCAAAGGAGAAGUGCGGUGAUAGAUUAAGAUUUCCUCAUGUAUCCAAACUCAUGAUGAAUUUAAUGUCCCUGCCUCAUUCCUCUGCUGCAGCUGAAAGAAUAUUCUCAUUGGUGACCAAUAUAAAGACCAAGCAGAGAUUAAGACUUAAUACAAGUACAUUAAAUAGUCUACUGCACAGCAAGGCUUUGCUUCAAAAUGUAAAUUGUAAAACGUGGCAACUUUCUACCCAGUUACUGAAGAAAACAACUACUACAAAGCCUACACCUGAAACGAGAGAAGAGGAGCUGCAAUUUUAAUUAUCAGUGAAUUAUAAGGCUUCUGGGAGAGCAGGAUACCAAGUGGCAGAAAGACAACAGAAAAUGGAGUUAAUGAGGAGGAGCAAGGGCGUGAUGAGAAACGGACCCUCACCUGCAUCACUGCUCUCCCUCUCCUACAUCAGCUGAGGUUCCCAGUGCGGACGGACGACUCCCAGAACACCAGGUAGCGACGGGCACACUGCCUCCCCGCGCUCUCCCCGAACCGUGUCCGUUGGGUUGGCGGGCAUCCUAACCAGACAGAGAUACUCCUGCUGCUCUCCUCCCACUGUGCUGUAACAUGGCCAAGGAAUGCUGAUCACGACUAUGUUACCUCCUCCUCCUCCUCCUCCUCGUCUGUAA